UUAAGCGACUAAGCGUACACGGUGGAUGCCCUGGCAGUCAGAGGCGAUGAAGGACGUGCUAAUCUGCGAAAAGCGUCGGUAAGGUGAUAUGAACCGUUAUAACCGGCGAUGUCCGAAUGGGGAAACCCAGUGCAAUUCGUUGCACUAUCGUUAACUGAAUACAUAGGUUAACGAGGCGAACCGGGGGAACUGAAACAUCUAAGUACCCCGAGGAAAAGAAAUCAACCGAGAUUCCCCCAGUAGCGGCGAGCGAACGGGGAGCAGCCCAGAGUCUGAAUCAGCUUGUGUGUUAGUGGAACGGUCUGGAAAGUCCGACGGUACAGGGUGAUAGUCCCGUACACCAAAAUGCACAGGCUGUGAACUCGAAGAGUAGGGCGGGACACGUGGUAUCCUGUCUGAAUAUGGGGGGACCAUCCUCCAAGGCUAAAUACUCCUGACUGACCGAUAGUGAACCAGUACCGUGAGGGAAAGGCGAAAAGAACCCCGGCGAGGGGAGUGAAAAAGAACCUGAAACCGUGUACGUACAAGCAGUGGGAGCACCUUCGGGUGUGACUGCGUACCUUUUGUAUAAUGGGUCAGCGACUUAUAUUCUGUAGCAAGGUUAACCGUAUAGGGGAGCCGCAGGGAAACCGAGUCUUAACUGGGCGUUAAGUUGCAGGGUAUAGACCCGAAACCCGGUGAUCUAGCCAUGGGCAGGUUGAAGGUUGGGUAACACUAACUGGAGGACCGAACCGACUAAUGUUGAAAAAUUAGCGGAUGACUUGUGGCUGGGGGUGAAAGGCCAAUCAAACCGGGAGAUAGCUGGUUCUCCCCGAAAGCUAUUUAGGUAGCGCCUCGUGAAUUCAUCUUCGGGGGUAGAGCACUGUUUCGGCUAGGGGGUCAUCCCGACUUACCAACCCGAUGCAAACUACGAAUACCGAAGAAUGUUAUCACGGGAGACACACGGCGGGUGCUAACGUCCGUCGUGAAGAGGGAAACAACCCAGACCGCCAGCUAAGGUCCCAAAGUCAUGGUUAAGUGGGAAACGAUGUGGGAAGGCACAGACAGCCAGGAUGUUGGCUUAGAAGCAGCCAUCAUUUAAAGAAAGCGUAAUAGCUCACUGGUCGAGUCGGCCUGCGCGGAAGAUGUAACGGGGCUAAACCAUGCACCGAAGCUGCGGCAGCGACACUAUGUGUUGUUGGGUAGGGGAGCGUUCUGUAAGCCUGCGAAGGUGACCUGUGAGGGUUGCUGGAGGUAUCAGAAGUGCGAAUGCUGACAUAAGUAACGAUAAAGCGGGUGAAAAGCCCGCUCGCCGGAAGACCAAGGGUUCCUGUCCAACGUUAAUCGGGGCAGGGUGAGUCGACCCCUAAGGCGAGGCCGAAAGGCGUAGUCGAUGGGAAACAGGUUAAUAUUCCUGUACUUGGUGUUACUGCGAAGGGGGGACGGAGAAGGCUAUGUUAGCCGGGCGACGGUUGUCCCGGUUUAAGCAUGUAGGCUGGUUGUCCAGGCAAAUCCGGAUAAUCAAGGCUGAGGUGUGAUGACGAGGCACUACGGUGCUGAAGUAACAAAUGCCCUGCUUCCAGGAAAAGCCUCUAAGCAUCAGGUAACAUUAAAUCGUACCCCAAACCGACACAGGUGGUCAGGUAGAGAAUACCAAGGCGCUUGAGAGAACUCGGGUGAAGGAACUAGGCAAAAUGGUGCCGUAACUUCGGGAGAAGGCACGCUGGUGUGUAGGUGAAGCCCCUGCGGGUGGAGCUGAGACCAGUCGAAGAUACCAGCUGGCUGCAACUGUUUAUUAAAAACACAGCACUGUGCAAACACGAAAGUGGACGUAUACGGUGUGACGCCUGCCCGGUGCCGGAAGGUUAAUUGAUGGGGUUAUCCGUAAGGAGAAGCUCUUGAUCGAAGCCCCGGUAAACGGCGGCCGUAACUAUAACGGUCCUAAGGUAGCGAAAUUCCUUGUCGGGUAAGUUCCGACCUGCACGAAUGGCGUAAUGAUGGCCAGGCUGUCUCCACCCGAGACUCAGUGAAAUUGAACUCGCUGUGAAGAUGCAGUGUACCCGCGGCAAGACGGAAAGACCCCGUGAACCUUUACUAUAGCUUGACACUGAACAUUGAGCCUUGAUGUGUAGGAUAGGUGGGAGGCUUUGAAGCGUGGACGCCAGUCUGCGUGGAGCCAACCUUGAAAUACCACCCUUUAAUGUUUGAUGUUCUAACGUUGGCCCCUGACCGGGGUUGCGGACAGUGUCUGGUGGGUAGUUUGACUGGGGCGGUCUCCUCCCAAAGCGUAACGGAGGAGCACGAAGGUUAGCUAAUCCUGGUCGGACAUCAGGAGGUUAGUGCAAUGGCAUAAGCUAGCUUGACUGCGAGCGUGACGGCGCGAGCAGGUGCGAAAGCAGGUCAUAGUGAUCCGGUGGUUCUGAAUGGAAGGGCCAUCGCUCAACGGAUAAAAGGUACUCCGGGGAUAACAGGCUGAUACCGCCCAAGAGUUCAUAUCGACGGCGGUGUUUGGCACCUCGAUGUCGGCUCAUCACAUCCUGGGGCUGAAGUAGGUCCCAAGGGUAUGGCUGUUCGCCAUUUAAAGUGGUACGCGAGCUGGGUUUAGAACGUCGUGAGACAGUUCGGUCCCUAUCUGCCGUGGGCGCUGGAGAAUUGAGGGGGGCUGCUCCUAGUACGAGAGGACCGGAGUGGACGCAUCACUGGUGUUCGGGUUGUCAUGCCAAUGGCACUGCCCGGUAGCUAAAUGCGGAAGAGAUAAGUGCUGAAAGCAUCUAAGCACGAAACUUGCCCCGAGAUGAGUUCUCCCUGAGACUUUAAGUCUCCUGAAGGAACGUUAAAGACGAUGACGUUGAUAGGCCGGGUGUGUAAGCGCAGCGAUGCGUUGAGCUAACCGGUACUAAUGAACCGUGAGGCUUAACCUU
rnacentral:rRNA from 1 species